AUUGAACGCUGGCGGCAUGCCUUACACAUGCAAGUCGAACGGCAGCGGACCUUCGGGUGCCGGCGAGUGGCGAACGGGUGAGUAAUGCAUCGGAACGUACCUUUCAGGGGGGGAUAACGUAGCGAAAGUUACGCUAAUACCGCAUAUUCUGUGAGCAGGAAAGCAGGGGAUCGCAAGACCUUGCGCUGAUUGAGCGGCCGAUGUCAGAUUAGCUAGUUGGUGAGGUACAGGCUCACCAAGGCGACGAUCUGUAGCGGGUCUGAGAUGAUGAUCGGCCACAGUGGGACUGAUACACAGCCCAGACUCCUACGUGAGGGAGCAGUGGGGAAUUGUGGACAAUGGGGGCAACCCUGAUCCAGCCAUGCCGCGUGAGUGAAGAAGGCCUUCGGGUUGUAAAGCUCUUUCGGCCGGGAAGAAAUCGCACAGGCUAAUACCUUGUGUGGAUGACGGUACCGGAAUAAGAAGCACCGGCUAACUCCGUGCCAGCCGCCGCCGUAAGAC
rnacentral:rRNA from 1 species